rnacentral:lncRNA from 1 species
GAGCCUCAUCCUACUGCCUUACUAUUGGUCGUCGGCAACCGCUUUGUUAGUUAAUUGGAGAGACUGGAUGUCCAUCAGGGUCACGCUUGCAGGGCAACGAGAGGCAAAACAAGAGGGAAGACGACUUUCCUCCUGUGAGCCAAUGAGGCCAGCUGGACUACGCCGAGACAACUGGGAGAGGCGCGGGACUCGCCCGUUCCGCGGAACGCCGGGAAGGGGUCACCUCCUGAUGAAGUUUCCGGUUCCGGUGUCAGCGGCGGUUGAAUUGCCAUGGCAAUGCGGUGGGCGCGCGCUUGUCGUGUUGGUCUCUUGGGAGGUAGCGGGGCUAGGCCGGGCGGGUAUCCGCCUCUCCCAGCUUAGGUGAGCGUCCCCGGGCGCCUCCGGAGCGCCGCGGCCGCAUGCAGUUCGUCGUGGCGGGGAGCCGGAGCCUGACCGGGGUUCCAGCGCUCGGGCCGUAGCCUUGGCUCCUGGACUUUCCCUGGCUCCGCCGCCACGUGGGAGCUGAGGCUCUGGGGCUUCCGCCUCCGGCGCGCGAUUAUUUCUCUAGAACAGUUUUCAUUUUUAAAAUUUGUAAAGCGCUUUUGCCUGUGUGAUUUCCUCUGGGUUUUUUUUUUUUUUCUUCCUUUUUGUAGAGACGGAAUUGGCGGCGGGGGCGGGGGGUCGAUGUCUCACUUUUUUGCCCAGGCUGGUCUCGAACUCCUGGCUUCAAGGGAUCCUCCUGCCUCGGCCUCUUAAAGUGCUGGGAUUACAGGCGUGAGCCACCGCCCCCGGCCGCCUCUGAGUUUCCAGCCUCGUUGGCCCUCCAGCCUUUUAACCUGUUGGGCCUAGGAUCAGGAAAGGUUUGUUGAAUGGGGAACUAAGAAGUGAAUUCGUUCGUUCGACAAACGUUUCCUGAGCAGCCGCUGGGUGCUAGGCGCAGUGCCAGCGCGGAAUGUCCAGGGAGACCUGGUGCCCAAAGCUUGGACCCAUCGUGAGAAAUGAGAAGCAGAUACAAAGCAGUGUGGGAGUGCAGAGGAGACAAAGCAAGCCUCAUCAGGCCCAUUGCUUGCUCUGCUCUCCCUUGUACUUACCAGUGCUUGACAAUAUACAGUUAUUUACUAGCUUGGUUAUUGACUUCCUACCCAGCACUCAGUUUUAUUCACUGCUGUAUCCUCAGUGCCUAGGACGAUGCUUGGAACGUGAUUCAUUGAUUCCAGGUAAAUCAGAGGAACAAGCAACAUGAACAGAAAUAUGUAGAAAAAGCUAUUAUGCAGAAGCAUAAUUGUUGUUUCAGAAGUCCAGCAUCUGGUGCACUUAACAAUAGAGAAUAUAUUAAACUCUUUC